rnacentral:misc_RNA from 1 species
UUUACAUUCCUACCAUUUGUUGCCCGAAAUCUAAAGAAGCUGAUACUUCAGGUGGAAAAAGAGGGCUCCUUCCAAAGCAAAGAAAUUGGCGGAGUUUCACCAAGAUGUGAAAAAUACUACUGCUAAGUAACAUCCUCUGAUUAAUUUCUCUUAUUGUUUCUAACAUAAUUGCACGAGAAUAUUUUCUGAAAAUUUUCACGAAAACAUGAAAAAAAAAAAUCCUCUCAUUUAUGAUGUAUCAUUUUUAAGAGGAUUUCCUUGACUGGAACAACUCUUUCCAAUACCUUUCUUGAAUUUUGCUCUUAUUUUUGUUCCCGACUUGUGCAAAUGAAUUAACCCCACUUUUUGUCAUAUAGUACAGUUGCUAGUAGGACUUCAUGGCUUCGCAGGUUAGUGCGCUAUAACUUACUAGGUUAUAAUAGACCAUAAAUAAGCACGCUUGAAGGAGUUACUUUUGAGUUUGCUAUAAAAAUUGCUCCAGCAAGACAUACAUCCUUGCAUUUCAAGGGCAAAACAAAUAAUCAACUCAAAACCAUACUCUUCAUCGCAUCAACAACACAGGCCACAGAAUAAACGGCCACGCAUAUCCCAUCCCCUUCCCCCCUUACCAGAGACUACAGUUAGAAAUAACUGAAUAAAAGAUCCAAGCGCAUCAUCAAAUAUACUGACCCUAUUACUCAUCAUUUUGGCUUUCAUCUUUGACAAGCUUGAUCAUGUCAUCAAUUCGAAGAAUUGUUAUGGCUGCUUCAGUGGCAAACUGAAUUAUCUUCACUUUGCUCAUUGCGGGUUCAAUAACUCCAGCUUCUAAGUUGUUUCGAAUGGUGCCCUUUGAAAGGUCUAGUCCCAUGCUCGAUAAAUGUUUCUUAUCAGCCUUUGUUUGAGCAGUGUGGUGGUAAGCCCGUAGUUUUGCUACUAACUCAGUGGCAUCCUUAGCAGCAUUAACAGCAAGUACCUUUGGUAUGAUAAGUAAAGAUUCAGCAAACUCAGCAAUUGCCAACUGCUCUCUUGAUCCAAGAGUUGUAGCAAGAUACUCCAAAUACACAGACAAGGCAGCCUCAACUGCACCUCCACCUGCUACUACCGUAUUAGAUUCAAGGGUCCUUCUAACAACAGAUAAAGCAUCAUGCAGAGCUCUCUCCAUCUCAUCCAGCAUAUAGUCAUUUGCACCUCUAAGGAUUAGAGAAACCGCACUAGUAGAUUUUGUCCCCUUUAUCAUAAUCACAUCAUCAUCAGCAAUGCGUUCUUCCACAACUUCAUCAGCAUAUCCAACAAGCGAUUGAUCAAAUGUUUCCUCCCCUUCCAUAUCAGCAAAAGUUGAAACCUAGAGGCACACCGAAGCAGGCAUAUAGACAGUUAACAUGAUGACAUGAAUACUAGAAAGUAGUAGGAAGCAGUGGAUAACAAAAUACAGAAUGUAGUAAAAGUAACUGACCCGAUUCAAACAAAAAAGAAGGCAGAAAAUAUAGAAAAAGUUAUUCCCCUUCCAAAAGGAGACAUAAAAUUAUUAAUAAGGGCGAUGUAACAGUAAACACUAAUGAAAUAAUGCAAUAGGUGAAGCCUUUAUUUUGAAGUUCAAAUGAUACAGCAAUAUUUACAUCUAAAUCAAUUAGAUGCUAGGGGACAAGAACAUUGAAAGAUUAAGAUGUCCAAAUUUCACAUGGUGAAACCAAAGCUAAACUGCAUAUACUCAACAAGGAUGAGCAAUCCCUCCUUGAAACAGAUAACCAAUAUUGAUGAUUACAAUAAUCACUGCAGGGCUAGAAGAAUUACCAUGGUUGCACCAGUCGCCUUGGCAACGUGAUGCAUAUCCUCUUUCCGAACACGUCUCACAGCAAUAGCCCCAGCUUCCACAAAAUACUUGAGAGCCAUGUCAUCAAUUCCUUUUGUAGUUAAAACAACAUUAGCUCCAGCUUUCAAGAGUUUCUCAAUGCGUUCCUUUGUCAUAUCCGCUUCUCUUUGACGAAUUUUCUCAAGCUCCCUGGGAUCAGUAACUAAGACUUGUAUGCCCAAUUGCAUCUUUGUCUUCUGAAGAUUAAAGUCAAGGCAUGCAAUUCUUGCAGGUGCAACUCUUGUAGGCAUUCCUUGAGCAGCACGACCAGUAUUUAGAGCAUACCCAUUCAAUAGGUAGCUAUCUUUUGCACUUUUUCCAUGAGCUUUCAAAAUAUUGAUGCUCUUGAUCGGGUAUUUGACUUCCCCUCGUACAUUGGUCAUCUUUACUGCUUGUACAGCAUCUACAACCAGAUUCGCAAAAAAAUCGCUGUCACCAGCUAUCAACUUCGAGGACAUGCUUGUCUUAGCACAAUUUACAAGAGAAUCUUUUCCAAGUUUUUCAACCUUCACAGCCAAUUUUUCAUCAACAUAUUUACAUGCUUCCCUCAUAGCAAGUCUGUAUCCACUGAUUAUUGAUGUUGGGUGAAUCUUAUUCCUCACCAGAUCAUUUGCUCUCUUGAGCAACUCUGCAGCAACAAUAACAACUGAAGUUGUUCCAUCUCCUACUUCUCGGUCUUGAAGCUCUGCCAACUCGACAAGCACCUUGGCAGCUGGAUGCUCCACUUCCAACAUCUUGAGAAUAGUGGCACCAUCAUUGGUAAUGGUUACAUCCCCAAUAUCAUCUACUAGCAUCUUGUCGAGACCAACAGGACCAAGCGAAGAUUUGACGAUGUUGGCUACAGCUUGACACGCCACCACAUUUUGAGUACGAACGUCCUGGCCGGAUUGUCGUUCACCUAGAAUGUCAAGAGUUUGUGCCGCGAUUGCCAUUUCUGCUUCGCGCGUCGGAAACGUCAAACCCUAGGUCGGAUCUGCGAGUACUGGUGGAGAAGGGGCGUUUGUUUUCUGGAAGUUCAGAGGAAAUGAUGAACUGCAACCCCCAGAUUAUGAAAAAUAGGACGUGUCUCGAAUUUUCAGAUGGAAGAAGACGCCUCAGCUUAGCAGGAAGGGUGGGGAAUGCCAGAUGAUGUCGUUUUGUUGUGUUUGCAUUAAAC